rnacentral:rRNA from 1 species
GGCGACGAUGGGUAGGGGUCCUGAGAGGGAGAUCCCCCACACUGGUACUGAGACACGGACCAGACUCCUACGGGAGGCAGCAGUGAGGAAUAUUGGACAAUGGGCGCAAGCCUGAUCCAGCCAUGCCGCGUGCAGGAUGACGGUCCUAUGGAUUGUAAACUGCUUUUAUACGAGAAGAAACACUCCGACGUGUCGGNGCUUGACGGUAUCGUAAGAAUAAGGAUCGGCUAACUCCGUGCCAGCAGCCGCGGUAAUACGGAGGAUCCAAGCGUUAUCCGGAAUCAUUGGGUUUAAAGGGUCCGUAGGCGGUCAGAUAAGUCAGUGGUGAAAGCCCAUCGCUCAACGGUGGAACGGCCAUUGAUACUGUCUGACUUGAAUUAUUAGGAAGUAACUAGAAUAUGUAGUGUAGCGGUGAAAUGCUUAGAGAUUACAUGGAAUACCAAUUGCGAAGGCAGGUUACUACUAAUGGAUUGACGCUGAUGGACGAAAGCGUGGGUAGCGAACAGGAUUAGAUACCCUGGUAGUCCACGCCGUAAACGAUGGAUACUAGCUGUUGGGCGCAAGUUCAGUGGCUAAGCGAAAGUGAUAAGUAUCCCACCUGGGGAGUACGUUCGCAAGAAUGAAACUCAAAGGAAUUGAC